UGUUUAACAGUAUAAUAUCUACAAAGCUAAUAGCCUUAGUUGCCAGGCUUAAGACCAAUAAAAAAAAAAAAAUAUAUAUCUACUACAAUCUACUUGUAUACUCUAGUAUAUUUGUAAUAAAUUGCUUCGAAGCUUGAUUUUUAAGUAUCACGAUUCUUCGGAAAAUAUUUUAAAUCUUCGGAAUCUGAAAGUAAAAAAUAUGUAAGUUGUCAUUAAAAAAGUACACACGUAAAAAUAUAGACAGUGAUAGAAAUAUUUUCAACACAACACUAUAAGGUGGUCGUAAACAGUAGAAUAAGCCACACACGGAAUGACUAUCGUGAUGGUAAAUUAUAAUAGCAACAGAACAGCGACCAAUAACUUAUAACUAACUUACUACUAACUUUUAACCUAACUAAUGUUCUCCCAAAACCCAGGAGUCGUGUGGCGGAUAGUCGACGAAAACUUUAAACGUAAAAUAAAUCAAUAAUACCUGAUUUCCUAUUGCAUGGGAAUAUAGAAUGGCUUUGGUGGAACCUAAAACCGUUAAUUCAGUACUAGGAACCGAUAAGGAAAACGCACGGUCCUCAGAAUGUUAUUUUGCGUAUAUUUAUCAAGUAUCAACUUAUAGUGACCCUCACACGAUCAAUAUUACUGACAGUAUUUUUGAUACUGACAAUAUUAUUGAUCGUGUAACGUGAGUACUGAUGUACUGUCAGUAUGGAAAAACGAUACUGAUGACUGAUGAAAAAUUCGGAUAUCGAGUCGUCAGUAUUUAUUUACUGAUAAAGAUAUUGACCGUGUGUGGUGGAUAAUGACAGUUCAUCAGUACAUUUUUCGCAGCCAUGGGUGACGAAAGCCGAAAUACGGGUACGAGUGAUUCGAGUACAGAUAAACAAAUAUUGCGUGCUUUUAUUGCUGAAUAUAAACAGUUGCCAGAAUUAUGGGAUGUGCGUACACUAAAAAGGAUAAAAAAAAAUGCUGCUAAUGAAAAACUACUUACUAUUUAUAAGGGUUUAAAAUCUAACGCCACUGUUGACGGUGUAAAAAAAAUAAUAAACACCUUAAAAAGUAACUAUCGAAAAGAGUUGAAGAAAAUAAAUGAUUCAAAAAGAAGUGGAGCUGGAUCAGAUGAUAUAUAUGUACCAUCGUCGUGGGUAUUUGAGGAAUUAUCAUUUUUGAUGAAUUUGGAAAAACCGGUUGAAAGCAUUUCGUCGAUAAGUGAAGAAACGGUUAAUGAUUCGGAUGGUCCUUCAGAACACAUUAAUCUGAAAGUAUUGGGACAAGAUAACGCAGUUGUUCAAUUUAAAAUAAAGAAGAACACACCACUUAAAAAAUUAAUGAAUGCCUACUGUGAAAGAACUAUUUUCUCACUGGUGCCUCUGCCAUAUACCGAUCUAUUUACAAAAGGCUAACAAAAUAUAACUCUAGAUUCAUAUUAUGAUUUAGAUAUUUAUUAAAUCAUUGAUUUUGUGUCCUCGUAUUUCAUCAUGGAGGGUAUAUCCUUCGAAACGGUGAGAUUCCGGUUUGAUGGUCAAGCAAUCACAGUGACUGAUACUCCAGCUUCAUUAGAGAUGGAAGAAGGUGAUACACUUGAAGUCUACCAACAGCAGACAG
rnacentral:misc_RNA from 1 species